AUUGAACGCUGGCGGCAUGCUUUACACAUGCAAGUCGAACGGCAGCGCGGGCUUCGGCCUGGCGGCGAGUGGCGAACGGGUGAGUAAUGCAUCGGAACGUGCCCAGUAGUGGGGGAUAGCCCGGCGAAAGCCGGAUUAAUACCGCAUACGACCUGAGGGUGAAAGCGGGGGACCGAAAGGCCUCGCGCUAUUGGAGCGGCCGAUGUCGGAUUAGCUAGUUGGUGGGGUAAAGGCUUACCAAGGCGACGAUCCGUAGCUGGUCUGAGAGGACGACCAGCCACACUGGGACUGAGACACGGCCCAGACUCCUACGGGAGGCAGCAGUGGGGAAUUUUGGACAAUGGGGGCAACCCUGACCCAGCCAGGCCGCGUGCGGGAAGAAGGCCUUCGGGUUGUAAACCGCUUUUGUUCGGGAAGAAAUCCUCUGGGCUAAUACCCGGGGGGAUGACGGUACCGGAAGAAUAAGCACCGGCUAACUACGUG
rnacentral:rRNA from 1 species